CGGGACCCGCACAAGUGGUGGAGCAUUGUGGUUUAAUUCGAAGAUACACGGAGAACCUUACCUGGCCUUGACAUGGUAGGAACCCUUAAGAGAUUAGGGGGUGCUAGCUUGCUAGAACCUACACACAGGUGCUGCACGGCUGUCGUCAGCUCGUGUCGUGAGAUGUUGGGUUAAGUCCCGCAACGAGCGCAACCCUCGUCGUUAGUUGCUAACAGUUUGGCUGAGCACUCUAACGAGACUGCCUUCGUAAGGAGGAGGAAGGUGAGGACGACGUCAAGUCAUCAUGGCCCUUACGGCCAGGGCUACACACGUGCUACAAUGGGGCGUACAAAGAGCUGCAAUACCGCGAGGUGGAGCCAAUCUCUUAAAGCGUCUCUCAGUUCGGAUUGUUCUCUGCAACUCGAGAACAUGAAGCUGGAAUCACUAGUAAUCGUAGAUCAGCUAUGCUACGGUGAAUACGUUCCCGGGUCUU
rnacentral:rRNA from 1 species